UUUUAUCUUGUAUUAUUCAACAGGCUACAGUUCUUAGCAGGAGAGAGAGCGAGGAGUUGUCAGGAAAGCUGCAGGUUACUUUGAGACAGUCGUCCCAAAUGCAUUAGAAGAACUGUAAAAAUCUGCCACAGAAGGAGCGAUGAUCCAUAGUCAGAAAAGUUACUGCAGCUUAAACAGGAAACCCUUCUUGUUCAGGACUGUCAUAGCCACAGUUUGCAAAAAGUACAGCUAUUGAUUAAUGCAAUGUAGUGUCAAUUAGAUGUACAUUCCUGAGGUCUUUUAUCUGUUGUAGCUUUUUCUUUUCAUUACAUCAGGUAUAUUGCCCUGUAAAUUGUGGUAGUGGUACCAGGAAUAAAAAAUUAAGGAAUUUUUAACUUUU